rnacentral:rRNA from 1 species
UACGUAGGGGGCAAGCGUUGUCCGGAUUCAUUGGGCGUAAAGAGCUCGUAGGCGGCUUGGCAAGUCGGGUGUGAAAACUCCAGGCUCAACCUGGAGACGCCACCCGAUACUGCCAUGGCUAGAGUCCGGUAGGGGACCACGGAAUUCCUGGUGUAGCGGUGAAAUGCGCAGAUAUCAGGAGGAACACCGGUGGCGAAGGCGGGUCUCUGGGCCGAUACUGACGCUGAGGAGCGAAAGCGUGGGGAGCGAACAGG